UGCCAGCCGCCGCGGUAAUACGGAGGGUGCAAGCGUUGUUCGGAAUUAUUGGGCGUAAAGCGCGUGUAGGCGGUUCGUUAAGUCUGAUGUGAAAGCCCGGGGCUCAACCCCGGAAGUGCAUUGGAAACUGGCGAACUUGAGUACGGGAGAGGAAAGUGGAAUUCCGAGUGUAGGGGUGAAAUCCGUAGAUAUUCGGAGGAAUGCCGAUGGGGAAGCCAGCCCACUGGACAGAUACUGACGCUAAAGCGCGAAAGCGUGGGUAGCAAACAGGAUUAGAUA
rnacentral:rRNA from 1 species